rnacentral:rRNA from 1 species
GAUGAACGCUGGCGGCGUGCCUAAUACAUGCAAGUCGAGCGAACGGACGAGAAGCUUGCUUCUCUGAUGUUAGCGGCGGACGGGUGAGUAACACGUGGAUAACCUACCUAUAAGACUGGGAUAACUUCGGGAAACCGGAGCUAAUACCGGAUAAUAUUUUGAACCGCAUGGUUCAAAAGUGAAAGACGGUCUUGCUGUCACUUAUAGAUGGAUCCGCGCUGCAUUAGCUGGUUGGUAAGGUAACGGCUUACCAAGGCAACGAUGCAUAGCCGACCUGAGAGGGUGAUAGGCCACACUGGAACUGAGACACGGUCCAGACUCCUACGGGAGGCAGCAGUAGGGAAUCUUCCGCAAUGGGCGAAAGCCUGACGGAGCAACGCCGCGUGAGUGAUGAAGGUCUUCGGAUCGUAAAACUCUGUUAUUAGGGAAGAACAUAUGUGUAAGUAACUGUGCACAUCUUGACGGUACCUAAUCAGAAAGCCACGGCUAACUACGUG